rfam:Otolemur garnettii contig027101, whole genome shotgun sequence.
GUGCUAACCUUGGCAGCACAUACACUAAAAUUGGAAUGAUAGAGAAUAGAUUGGCAUGGCCCCUGUGAAAGGAUGACACACAAAUUUGGGAAGCAUUCUGUAUUUUU